rnacentral:sRNA from 1 species
GAUCUCUAGCCCUUUUCCUUCUUUCCAAUUC